rnacentral:ncRNA from 1 species
GUACAGGCUAUGAAGGAGAGGAGUAAACUAAACCUGAUGCAUAGAGAGGAAGACCUUAGGCUGGAAGUCUUCUCAUCAAGGGUGGUUGAAGCAGCUCUAGAGCUUUAACUUCGAAAUAUUUUUAUAAUAGAUUAGAAGUUAACGAUUGGCACUCGUUAAAGUGCUUUAAAUGAGCGAUUACCUUUUGGUAAUAAUUAGGGUGGUACCGCGGGAUAGCUCUCGUCCCUAUA